rnacentral:rRNA from 1 species
UACAGAGGUCUCAAGCGUUGUUCGGAUUCAUUGGGCGUAAAGAGCUUGUAGGCGGUUUGUCGCGUCUGCUGUGAAAUUUCGGGGCUCAACCCCGAACUUGCAGUGGGUACGGGCAGACUAGAGUGUGGUAGGGGAGACUGGAAUUCCUGGUGUAGCGGUGAAAUGCGCAGAUAUCAGGAGGAACACCGGUGGCGAAGGCGGGUCUCUGGGCCGAUACUGACGCUGAGGAGCGAAAGCGUGGGGAGCGAACAGG